rnacentral:rRNA from 1 species
GAUGAACGCUGGCGGCGUGCCUAAUACAUGCAAGUCGAGCGAACAGAUGAGGAGCUUGCUCCUCUGACGUUAGCGGCGGACGGGUGAGUAACACGUGGAUAACCUACCUAUAAGACUGGGAUAACUUCGGGAAACCGGAGCUAAUACCGGAUAAUAUAUUGAACCGCAUGGUUCAAUAGUGAAAGACGGUUUUGCUGUCACUUAUAGAUGGAUCCGCGCCGCAUUAGCUAGUUGGUAAGGUUACGGCUUACCAAGGCAACGAUGCGUAGCCGACCUGAGAGGGUGAUCGGCCACACUGGAACUGAGACACGGUCCAGACUCCUACGGGAGGCAGCAGUAGGGAAUCUUCCGCAAUGGGCGAAAGCCUGACGGAGCAACGCCGCGUGAGUGAUGAAGGUCUUCGGAUCGUAAAACUCUGUUAUUAGGGAAGAACAAAUGUGUAAGUAACUAUGCACGUCUUGACGGUACCUAAUCAGAAAGCCACGGCUAACUACGUG